CAGUCGCCGCGGGAAUACGAAGGUCCCGAGCGUUGUUCGGAAUCACUGGGCGUAAAGGGAGCGUAGGCGGCGUGGUAAGUCAGAUGUGAAAUCCCGGGGCUCAACCCCGGAACUGCAUCCGAUACUGCCAUGCUAGAGGAUUGGAGAGGUAGCUGGAAUUCUUGGUGUAGCAGUGAAAUGCGUGGAGAUCAAGAGGAACACUCGUGGCGAAAGCGAGCUACCGGACAAUAACUGACGCUGAGGCUCGAAGGCCAGGGUAGCGAAAGGGAUUAGAUACCCCAGUAGUCCCUGUCUCUUAUAC
rnacentral:rRNA from 1 species